rnacentral:rRNA from 1 species
AUUGAACGCUGGCGGCAUGCCUUACACAUGCAAGUCGAACGGCAGCACGGGGGCGACCCUGGUGGCGAGUGGCGAACGGGUGAGUAGAAUAUCGGAACGUGCCCUGAAGUGGGGGAUAACGUAGCGAAAGUUACGCUAAUACCGCAUACGAUCUGUGGAUGAAAGCGGGGGAUCUUCGGACCUCGUGCUUUAGGAGUGGCCGAUAACUGAUUAGCUAGUUGGUGAGGUAAAGGCUCACCAAGGCGACGAUCAGUAGCUGGUCUGAGAGGACGACCAGCCACACUGGGACUGAGACACGGCCCAGACUCCUACGGGAGGCAGCAGUGGGGAAUUUUGGACAAUGGGGGCAACCCUGAUCCAGCAAUGCCGCGUGAGUGAAGAAGGCCUUCGGGUUGUAAAGCUCUUUUGUCGGGGAAGAAACGGUGGUGGUUAAUACCUGCUACUAAUGACGGUACCCGAAGAAUAAGCACCGGCUAACUACGUGCCAGCAGCCGCCGUAA